CAAACAUAAAUACUUAUAAUCCUUUAUGUAUAGAUGAUUUUAAAUUAGUGCACCCAAAUAAUAAAAUAAAUUAUCCUAAACAGAUGAAUAUGAAUUUUAUUACAGACAAUGAGUUAAACAAAAUGAAAUACGUAAGUGAUAGUAGCCAUAAUAAUAAUAAUAAUUAUAAUAAAGAUAAUAGUAAUGCUGGGAGUACCCAAAUAUAUAACACAACAGCUCUUUCACUAAGUAAUAAUAACAGUAAUUAUAAUAACAAAACAAUGGGUAUACAGUAUUAUGAUCCAUUUAAUAAUAGUAUUAAUUAUAUGAAUGAACAGAAUAGAUAUAACAAUACAACGAGUAAUUUGAACAGUUUUGGUAAUUAUUAUUUUAAAAAUGUGCAAGAUAACAACGUAAAUAAAAUGCAACAUAUAUUACAGAAGGGACAACUUGCAAAUAACGUCAAAAGUAACCAUUAUAGUAGUAGUAACAAUCAUCGUAGUGGUAGUAACAAUUAUCGUAAUAGUAGUAAACAUCGUAGUAGUAGUAAUCAUCAUCAUCAUCAUCACCAUCGUAGAAAUAGAAGUAGUAGUAGUAGUAGUAAUAACAAUCAUAAUACUAGUAAUCGCCAUCACAAGAAUAUCAAUCGUACCAGUGCUAUUCCUACAAAUGGUAGCACUCUUAACAAUAACUCAUUAUAUAACUUACAUAUGAUGGAAACAGGAUUCAACAAUCAAUCAGUGUCAAAUAAUAAAAAUAUGAUAAACGAAAAAAUGUUUUAUAAUAAUAAUUCCAUUCAAAAUAGUAAUAGUAAUAAUAGUAAUAACUUUGUGAAUAAGAGUCCUACUUUUAUGAAUGGUGGAAAUUUAUAUACGCAUUUAAAUCAAAAUUUCAAUAAUAAUAAUAAUUUUAAUAAUAGUAACAACAACAACAAAAUGGACAGCCUAUUUAAUUAUGCCAAACAAAAUAACAUUAAUAAUAAUGGUUAUAACAAAUGGAAUGAUAAUAACAAUUUGUAUAAUCCUAAUUUUUCAGCUGUUAUUGUUUCUGAUAAAAAUCCCUUUUCUUUACAAAACAUUAUUUCAAAUUCAAAUAAAAAAAAAACUUUACCUCACUCGGAUGGAAGUGGGGGGAUGAUGAUGAUGUCAGAUAAUAAUUUAAAUAAAAAUUUUUUAUGAUUAGGAAAUGGGGGAUUCAUGUACCAUGUAUUUAUGUGCACAUAUGUACAAUAUACAUACUGUACUAAAAUAUAAAAAAGUGAAAGCGGAAAGCAAAAAAAAAAAAAAAAAAAAAUUUAUGAUGUUAUCUUAUAUUGUGACACAUUUCUUCAUAUGUCACUCCAGCUUACGUAAUAUCACGUUAUCACUUAUUAUUUUGUGUCAUGAUAGAUACUAAUAAGGAAAAAUGAAUCG
rnacentral:lncRNA from 1 species